UGAUAGAUUUUUGAAUAUUUACUUUGUAUCCUGCAACUUUUCUAAAUUCACUUAUUAGUUCUGGGAGUACUUUUGGAGGCUCCUUGGAAUUUUCUCCACAGACAAUUGUGUCAUUGGCCAGAAGAGGGGGAGCUCUUGGAAUGCAAAGUCUGUGCGGUUUCCAGUUCUCUCCAGGUACCUCCAACAUCCAGACCACAUCUGAUGCUGAGUUUAUAGGAACAUUCACAACCUGACCUACGUGGACAGCUGCAAGACCAAAGGAUUCCUAUACCAAGAAGUUUGCAACAACCAACCAUGCCCCCCCAAACUUGCCUUUAAAAAUGCUUUGCUGAAAUCUUUGGGGGAGUUAGGGGUUUUUUGGAGCAUGAACCACCCAUCUCCUUGUAUGGCCCUGCAAUAAACCUUU